GCACCGCUAGCUCAAUUGGCAGAGCAACUGACUCUUAAUCAGUAGGUUCGGGGUUCGAUUCCCUGGCGGUGCA
rnacentral:tRNA from 1 species